UACAGGAGACCUCGUCCUCAGAGACAUGUAAGCCAUCAGCAACAAUCUGAUAAAAAUGACACUGAAAAUGGCAACAUGACUGGAUCUCCAGAUGGUCAGCUCAAGAGGAAGCAUGAUUCAGCUGGGACUGAUGAUACUGAACCUUGCAGAUCUGUUAAGAGAGCUUCAGUCAGCCCUGUUCACCCAAAGCAUGAUUCACCUGGGACUGAUGAUACUGAACCUUGCAGAUCUGUGAAGAGGGCUUCAGUCAGCCCUGUUCACCCAACAACUUCAUCACCUAGCUCUGGGAACAUUAGUGAUGAGGCCACAUGCAACAACCAAAAGAAGAUGAGUUCUAAUGCAA
rnacentral:lncRNA from 1 species